UACGUAGGGAGCAAGCGUUGUCCGGAAUCAUUGGGCGUAAAGGGUGUGUAGGUGGCGCGCUAAGUCGGGUGUGAAAUUUCGGAGCUUAACUCCGAAACUGCAUUCGAUACUGGCGUGCUUGAGGACUGGAGAGGAGACUGGAAUUCAUGGUGUAGCAGUGAAAUGCGUAGAGAUCAUGAGGAAGACCAGUGGCGAAGGCGGGUCUCUGGACAGUUCCUGACACUGAGACACGAAGGCCAGGGGAGCAAACGGG
rnacentral:rRNA from 1 species